AACGAACGCUGGCGGCAUGCCUAACACAUGCAAGUCGAACGAGACCUUCGGGUCUAGUGGCGGACGGGUGCGUAACGCGUGGGAACCUGCCCUAAGGUUCGGAAUAACUCCCCGAAAGGGGUGCUAAUACCGGAUAAUGUCUUCGGACCAAAGAUUUAUCGCCUUUGGAUGGGCCCGCGUUGGAUUAGCUAGUUGGUAGGGUAAAAGCCUACCAAGGCGACGGUCCAUAGCUGGUCUGAGAGGAUGAUCAGCCACACUGGGACUGAGACACGGCCCAGACUCCUACGGGAGGCAGCAGUGGGGAAUAUUGGACAAUGGGCGAAAGCCUGAUCCAGCAAUGCCGCGUGAGUGAUGAAGGCCUUAGGGUUGUAAAGCUCUUUUACCCGGGAUGAUAAUGACAGUACCGGGAGAAUAAGCUCCGGCUAACUCCGUG
rnacentral:rRNA from 1 species